GAAGUCAUAUUUCACAGGAUCUUUUCUGUUGUAUGUUUUUCUGUGUGUUGACACAAAUUCAAUCAUAGUAGGAUAAAGGUGAUUAGAUAAGACUCCUUUCUGAUUGCGAAGACUCGUUUCAGCCUCUUUCGUGAGGUUUGGUGCUUGAAGAUUACAUCAAGAAGGUUUUGCCCUCUUAUAGAUAAGAGGUAUCAUGA
rnacentral:snoRNA from 1 species